AUCAGCCAUCUGAUACUGAUUUGGGAGCAAAGACUCCAAAGGAGGUCAAGAUCCAGGGAAUUUGGUAUGCUCAGCUUGAGUCGUAGAGCUCUUUUUCUUGCAUGAAUUUGUGUAUUUAUAUUCUUGGAUCAGAUUUUGCAAAGUGUUGAAGGUGUUGCUAAAACUUUCCUCUACCCAAUUGAGAUGAUCAAAUACUAUUGGAAGCAUAUAUUAAUGGAGAAAUUUCAAAGUCUUUUUACCAUAUAAUUCAUAAAUUAAGUAAUUUAUUAUAUAAUAUUACAGUUUGAAUAAAUAUAUAAUUUACUUUUCAGUAUUUUUUACCUUUACAUAAUUAUAAAAAAUAUAAAUAGCAUAAAUAAUUUAAUUAAUUUAAUGUAUAAAUAAUAUGAUAAACUGAGUUUAGUUAAUAAACUAUCAUAGUGUGGACAUGUCAAAAAUUAAGAAGAAUUUAUGGGAAGAGGCAACUAGGCUUCAAAUAAUUUAAUAAUUAUGGUCAAAAUAUAAUAUUCCAUGUUUUUUUUAAUGAAUAGUCAAAAUAUAAUAUUCCUAAAUUCUAACUAGUGAAUAUGAAUCAGAUGGAAUUAUUAAUAUUAAUAAAUUGAAGCCAAUGAUAAGGUCCAUUCUGUGUUUGGUGGAGCCUAAGAAAGUAUAAUUAAUCAACCAACCAUUCAAUUUCCAUCCAUAAAAUCCCAUCUCAAAACUUUAUUGCUUUUGAUUCUGUGGUCAUAAAUCAUCUAUUACUCUUCUUGAAAUAUUGUUGAUUAUUAAGUUUCACAUCUUUUUUGUUAAUAAUUUAUUGUAAAUUGUUCAAUUUGAAGGUUUUAAUUUAUUACCAUGUAAAUGUUGGAUUUGUUGAUUUAUAAAAUUUGAGCAUUAUAAAACACUAAUAUUUUUUUAUUAUUAAUUAAUCAAUUUUAUUUUAUUGAUUUUAAAUCUAUUUCUUAUAAAUUUAAAAUAUAAAUAUAUAAAAACUUAUUUGGUAUAUUAAUGAAUGAUAUAUACAAUUUAGGAAAAAUAAAAAAUAUCAUAUUAUUUUAUUAGUUUUUCACAUUAUAAUAUGUGAUUUAUUUUAAAAUUUAUAAUUUAAUUAUAUAUCAAAUAGAUGUUAUUUAAAUAUAAAAUUAAAUCACAUAUUUUAGAUUAAAUUAUAAAUUUUAGAGUGAAUGAGGAAAUUAUAAAUAUUUUUUAAAAUUUUUUAAUAAAAUUGCUUAAAUUUUCUUUUAUUUUUUAAAUAAAAAAUUUUAUGCGAAUUCAAUUUAAUUUUUUUUAUUAAUUUUCUGUUUAGAAUGAAAUAACUUUUUUUUUUAAAUUUAUAAAUAAUUUUUUAAAAAUAAAUUAUAAUAUUUUAUAAAAAUUUAUUUAAAAUUUUUUCUCGCAAAACUAAUUAUACCACGCGAACAAGAAGUCAGUAACCAUUUAAAAAUAAAUACGAAUUAAUUAAUUUUCGGGAAAAAAAAGCCCAAAAAUGGCAGUGGAUCAUUACUCUCUCACCCCCGCUGUGGCUGCGUGCGUCACCUUCUGGAGCGGCGGGCGGGCGGCAGGCAAGCAGCCAACUCAAACUGAACCUCUGACCUAAUUGCCAAUGGGGCUAUCAAGGGGCCCCACUAAUCCACGUAUCCAUCGCCAGUUUAUUUCACGCUUAAAUCUUUGAGAACCAAAUUUCUAAUUGGAAGAACCAGAGAAGAAGACAGCUCUCAAUGCGAGCGUUGCCAUUACGUUCCUCUGGCUUUCAUUUUUCCUUCCAAAUUCAUUUACCAGAACACAAAUCCUAAAUCUUUCUGAUUACCCACAAUUGCAAAAUCAUAAUAACUGGAUUAUUUUCCCUCUAAAUUUUUUUUUUCUUUUUGAUUUGCGUGAUUGAUAAAAAAAGUUGCAGGGGAAUGAAUUUUUGGACAUGAAGGACAGAGAAGUGGUGUUGGAAGAUGGAAAAGGUGCCUGGAGCAAUGGGGACAAGCGCUAGCUUGGCUCUGAGAUUGGGUCAGGCUAUCUUCUCAACUGCUUCCCUUCUCUUCAUGUGUUUGGGCAUUGACUUCUACAGUUAUACUGCUUUUUGGUAUUGUUUGAUUCUAUUUUCCUGCACUUUGAUAGAAAAUAUAUCAUUUUCUGAUCUUAGUUCAAUACCCAUAUCUAUCUUUUACCUCUUUUCUUUUCUGUUUGUGUUAUUGUCUGCAAUUUGAUGCUGCAGAAUAUUUUCUCUGAUCAACUGUUCUGUUCUUUGCUGUAUAUUUCUUUUGUUUUUCCUCCUAAUUACUGGUUAAUUAUCAGCUGUGGCCUUAGGAUUAAUACAAGGGAAAGAUGAUAAAGAUCAGUGAUAUAAAGGUGAAACUGAAUUGAGCUCAUAAGAGAGUCUUUUAAGACAGGGAGAACGGUGUAGGAAUAACAUUUGGAGAUGUGAGUGAGUGCCAAAGGCAAAAUUUUAGCAAUUAGGGAUCAAAGUGCAUUUUACAUUUGUUGCUUAAACACUUUGAAUUAUCUCUAUCACAAUUUCUAUUUCUAUGAUAUGGAGAAAUUCACUGGUUGGUUUUUCAGUUUUGAAAAAUGUCUUAAAACAUGUCGUGCCGUUAAUAUAGUGUUAAGGUGUUCAAACUUGGAAGAAUUUAACACUUCGUUUGGCAUGAAUGACUUUAAUGACUUUAUAUGAAAAGAAUUCAAAUGAAUUCCAUUAAAAUUAUGUAUAAUUUCAUUUUCAUACAUGAUGAAAUUUUUUAAGUUAAAAAAAAUUGAAUUCUUUUAUUCCAAACAAGAAAAUUGUAAGAAAAGAAUCAAUUAAAUUGAAUUUUUGUGAAAAUUCUUGAUUCUAAAUGAAAAGUACUGUUGGUGCUCAAACCUUUAGCAAUCUUCUAAGGAACUUGUUGAUAUCCAAUGUAUCCGGUACGGAGUGAAUCCAAUUCACUUGGAGCUAGCUGCAGUUAUUCUCUUCAAAUUAUCUUUCUGAUAAUGUUUCUGAAAAAUGUGUUUUUUUCGAAAAAUACUGGUCAAGUAUCUAGCCCAUGAAAUUUUCUGAAAUUUAUGGAUUUUCAAUGAACUACUGAA
rnacentral:lncRNA from 1 species